rnacentral:pre_miRNA from 1 species
AGACACCCUUCUGGGCCAAGACUUGCUUCAGUGGGGCUUUGGUGCUCACUGAGUCUUCCCCCUGAGUGUGUCCCU